rnacentral:lncRNA from 1 species
ACAACACAACUAUUGGAUUUCUUUUGGCUGUUAUGCUCUCUUGCUAUAAAACAGAUCCAAGGAGAGGACUGAAAGAAUUCUAAUAUUGAAAUUUUUUACAUAUACUUGGAUUCAAUUGUUUUCGUUAAUCAUCUUUCAGAGAUCUUUAGUUGUUAGGAAGGCUAAUAAAUUCUUUCAUUCUUUGCACUGCUUCUGGCAAGCCCUUUGCUCCCUAAGGAAUGAAACAACACUUACAAGAAUGAAACAAAUUUGAUUUUAAAAUGAUGCUUACUUUUAUUAUUAUCAGUAGUUCUGAGCAAUAAGUGAUUUCUGGGCAUGAACAUUAUAUUUGGAUAUUGAAAUAUGCAUAUUUCUUCUUCUUCUUCCUCCCAACUAAAGACUAUUUCCUUGGUUCUUUUCAGCAGCAAAAGGAGACUGAAAGAAUGAUUGCUGUAUGCACAGACACAACUCAGAAGGUAGAUUCUAGCUACCUUUAUUCUUAUACAAAUCCUUUAGAUUAUGCUCGGAGCAAGAGUUGAAGAAGGGCCAGAUUAUUGUGUAAUCACUCCUCCAUCCGAGAAAUUAAACUAGACAGCAAUCGUGAUGAUCGCUGAAUGGCCUUGGCAUUCUCUCUUGCAGCCUUCCCUGACUUGAUUUGAAGUUGUCGACAAAGAAUAACUGAGAGAGGUUCAUCCCACUGUCAUUAAAACAAGAGAAUAAAGCAAAUUCAGCCUUGCAUUUGAUGUCAGCUUUUAAUCUUUGAUAGUCUCCUAUCAUGGGCAAGUUGAGUUUGCCAUGAUAGCUUCCUAAAGUGUAACUCCUUUUUCUGCUUAGAGCGAUGGAUGACAUGGUGUUUAAUUCUUGCCAUGAAGACUGUAAUAUUAAACAGAAUGAAACUCAACUGAGGAUUGAUUCAUUGAAUAUUUCAAGGGCUCUCACCAUUUUUUUCUUUGAGGCCUGCAACACAGAUUUGCCUUCCAUGUCUAUGAAAACAGGGAAUUUUCUUUUAUAUUUUGCACACAUACAAUUUCAGUUGAAACAUUAUUGUGAGAACUUGGAAAAGAAGUUAGUAUAAUCUAUGGAGCGGCAGUUUAGAUUGCCGUAACAAUAAGAGGAAGAAGCCGACAAUGGCAGCGGAUUCAGUAACCAGAAGGGAACUUGUUUGAAAGGGAUAGCUACGGUUGAUCAUGGGAUAAGCGUAUUUUCCAUAAAUGAUAGAAAAACAUGCACUUUUUACUAGUUCCUGGUUACAUUAACUAGCCAGGCAUGGAACUUGUUGCCUAUUUGCCAGCUCUAAAGUAAGGACAACUUAAAGACAGCUUCCUUUCCACCAGAUCCUCACAUGGGGUUGGUGGAAGCCGUGAGGAAAUUCAAUGCUAGAAAUUGUCACAUGUUUUUCAAGAACAAGGAUGAAGAUGAAGAUGAUGGGUGAAGGGGCAAUGCGUAAGGAGGUUUUUGGUCAGAGUUUGGUGUAAAUCUUGAAGCUCACUCCUCUUUAAUUUUGAUGGGCUUGUAAAUGAAGUAAAGCUUUGUUUGAACAAGCUUAGUGUAAUUCUUUCUUCAGAUUUUAACAAUGUGAAUUGCUAUCUACAAUCCACAUGAUGCUAGCUUAGCUUACAUAAAUUACAAUCCAAGAUUUCUAUAGAAAAUUCCAGAGGAAAGUUGGUUGCUUUUGCCUUACACUGCAAUAAUAAUAAUAAUAAUAACUACAGUAUUUGUAG